CAAGUCGAACGAUGAAGUUCCUUCGGGAGUGGAUUAGUGGCGAACGGGUGAGGAACACGUGAGAAACCUGCCUUUCAUUUUGGGAUAACUCCGGGAAACCGGGGCUAACACCGAAUACUCCGUCUCGGCGACAUCGCUGAGCCGGGAAAAAAUUUUGAUGAAAGAUGGUCUCGCGGCCUAUCAGCUAGUUGGUGAGGUAAUGGCUCACCAAGGCAACGACGGGUAGCCGGCCUGAGAGGGCGACCGGCCACACUGGGACUGAGACACGGCCCAGACUCCUACGGGAGGCAGCAGUGGGGAAUAUUGGGCAAUGGGCGCAAGCCUGAUCCAGCGACGCCGCGUGAGGGAUGAAGGCCUUCGGGUUGUAAACCUCUUUCAGUAGGGAAGAAGCGAAAGUGACGGUACCUAAAGAAGAAGCACCGGCUAACUAUGUGCCAGCAGCCGCGGUAAUACAUAGGGUGCAAGCGUUGUCCGGAAUUAUUGGGCGUAAAGAGCUCGUAGGUCGUUUGCCGCGUCGAUUGUGAAAAUCUGAGGCUCAACCUCAGACCUGCAGUCGAUACGGGCAAACUAGAGUGUGGUAGGGGAGACUGGAAUUCCUGGUGUAGCGGUGGAAUGCGCAGAUAUCAGGAGGAACACCAAUGGCGAAGGCAGGUCUCUGGGCCAUAACUGACACUGAGGAGCGAAAGCGCGGGGAGCGAACAGGAUUAGAUACCCUGGUAGUCCGCGCCGUAAACGGUGGGCACUAGCUGUGAGGACCUUCCACGGUCUUCGCGACGCAGCAAACGCAUUAAGUGCCCCGCCUGGGGAGUACGAUCGCAAGAUUAAAACUCAAAGGAAUUGACGG
rnacentral:rRNA from 1 species